rnacentral:ncRNA from 1 species
GAGAGCACAGUAUGAUGAAAGUUGUAAGCUGCGUUCGGGGGGGAGUUAUUGUCUAUCGUCGGCCUCUAUAGUAGAAUCAGUCAGGGAACCUGAGAGGCAGUGGUUUACCCUGC